AGUGUUUUGACCACUUGAUCUCAUGCUUAUUGGGCUCGGUGCAGCAUGCACCCAGUGAUGACUUUGCCCCUCGAUUUGGUAGCCAGAGUUUUUGGAAUCUUCAUUUUGAGUAGCCAUUUGUUGCAGCUCAACCAUCCUUAGAACUACAAUAAGAUUUGCUGUGCGAAUGGUGGAGAGUCGGUGGGCAAUGACGAUUACCGUCCUCCCUGCAGAAGCUUUAUCAAUUGCUUCCUGUACAGUCCUUUCGGACUGAGCAUCCAGUGCACUAGUGGCUUCAUCAAGGAGCAGGAUUUUUGGAUCUCUAACGAGAGCUCUUGCUAUGGCAAUUCGCUGCUUUUGACCACCAGACAAUUGAAAGCCAAAUUGACCAACCUAUAGAAUUUGUGAUGGUCAGGGGUUACAACAAUUUAGAAAGAGCACACAAUCACUUGGGAUUUACACUAGACUAAUAGUGCAAAAGAAAAUAAUUCAGUAUAUCUCAGACAAAAACUCAAACUAACUUUUAGGAGGGAUUUUCUCUCAUUGCAUCUCAAGGGAGAUAGUUUAGUGGCACAGCAGAAAAAUGCUGAUUUCAAAUGUUUUACUAUCUUUUCAUCUCUGGCAUUAGCUUUUUUUGUUGGUUUUUGACUGUGUUAUACAUUCCUACAGUUCAUGCGUUUCU